AACGAACGCUGGCGGCAUGCCUAACACAUGCAAGUCGAACGAGACCUUCGGGUCUAGUGGCGCACGGGUGCGUAACGCGUGGGAACCUGCCCUUAGGUUCGGAAUAACUCCCCGAAAGGGGUGCUAAUACCGGAUAAUGUCUUCGGGCCAAAGAUUUAUCGCCUUUGGAUGGGCCCGCGUUGGAUUAGCUAGUUGGUAGGGUAAAAGCCUACCAAGGCGACGAUCCAUAGCUGGUCUGAGAGGAUGAUCAGUCACACUGGGACUGAGACACGGCCCAGACUCCUACGGGAGGCAGCAGUGGGGAAUAUUGGACAAUGGGCGAAAGCCUGAUCCAGCAAUGCCGCGUGAGUGAUGAAGGCCUUAGGGUUGUAAAGCUCUUUUACCCGGGAUGAUAAUGACAGUACCGGGAGAAUAAGCUCCGGCUAACUCCGUG
rnacentral:rRNA from 1 species